CUGAUGGAUCCGAAGUACACAGGAAGCAGAUUUCAUCUUAAUCCAACAAUGAGCUUCCUAUCAAUUCCAUUUGUUCCAUAAUAGGAUGGGCUGCCUCAAGGAGGGGUUUUCCGUAUCUUUGACCAAAGGAGAGUUGUCAUAAAAACAUAACUUGGUUCCAUGGCCAGGUUGACUGGUCCAGGUUUGGACUGCUUACUCAGGCUUGGCCAAUGAAUCCUUCCCUUGGAACUUCUGGAAUUGAGGCAAAAGAGAUCCUUGAAGGCUGUCACUUCCAGGUGCAUUGAGAUUGAUGACACAGAUUAUGUAUGCAGAAAUGCAAAAGAGAAAAGCUCAUUAAUUGCUUUAAAAUAUUACACCAAUGAUUAUCCUUGUUUUAUGGAAGAGGAAUCUGGCUCAGACAAAAUUUUCCUGGGACUGAGUUGAGAACAUAUGCCAUGUGAAAGUGGGAGAAGACCAGAAAUAGCUCAUUUGAGCUGGUGCAUGAAAUUUUAUUGGGAACAGGUAUGAUUUUGGCAAGACCAUGGGGCAACCAAAGAGAAGAAGACUGUAGGUCACACAAGGUGGUUCUAUGCUUUAGUGACUUGAGGACAGCCUAUCCAACUCAUCAUCAGAAGUUCCAAAAGUUGCUGAAUAGUUGGAAGAACCAGGCAACUGGCUGGACUGACUUGCUCCCUGAGGCUUUUUGCAGCUGUAAGCAAGUGCCCUGAAUCAAUAAGAUUUUCACUUUAGGAAGAGAAGAGAUAUGGCCAUGGAUUUCUACCAGUGGGAAAACGACAUAGCCCUGUCUUUGCCAACUGGCUGGUCAACUCUUCUUAUUGCAUUAGCAGAAUGAAAUUUUGCUAUUGGCCCCAGUACCUCUGGAAA